rnacentral:rRNA from 1 species
UACAUAGGGUGCAAGCGUUGUCCGGAAUUAUUGGGCGUAAAGAGCUCGUAGGUGGUUCGUCACGUCGGAUGUGAAACUCUGGGGCUUAACCCCAGACCUGCAUUCGAUACGGGCGAGCUUGAGUAUGGUAGGGGAGUCUGGAAUUCCUGGUGUAGCGGUGGAAUGCGCAGAUAUCAGGAGGAACACCAAUGGCGAAGGCAGGACUCUGGGCCAUUACUGACACUGAGGAGCGAAAGCGUGGGGGAGCGAACAGG